GUGUGACUUAAGUGUCCAAAUACUUCUUGGGUCCUUGGUAUUCAGGCAUGUGGCCUGGCAGUAAUUAUAAGUGAUGCAGUUGCACUAAAGGGUCGGUAGAGGGCCCCGCAGAGCCCCAGUCAGCCACAAAAUCCACAUGACGCUGCACCCAAAUGGAAACCAUCAGCUUCGAGGACAUGCAUUCCAGCUCCUCAGAUCCUGUUCUUCAUCCCUCUGACACACUCUGCACAUGAAGAUCAAUGGAGCCAAGGACAGCGUGUAAGGGGAUCCAGGGCCAAGGAGGAGAGCAGAGUUGUGUUUUAUUUGUUCACAUGUGGCGCAGCCCCGUUUGAUUUGACCCUCUCUGGUUUCAUUCAUCCGGAAAAUCUGCUGUGCGUGAGUAAAACCUGAGGGAGUGGGUCUCACUUGAUACUCGGAUGUAAUUAGGAACUGCCAGUCAUGUUAAAGGGAUAAUCUACCCAGAAAUUAAAAUUCUGCCAUCACUCAC